rnacentral:rRNA from 1 species
GUGUCAGCCGCCGCGGUAAUACGGAGGGUGCGAGCGUUAAUCGGAAUGACUGGGCGUAAAGGGCAUGUAGGCGGAUAAUUAAGUUAGGUGUGAAAGCCCUGGGCUCAACCUAGGAAUUGCACUUAAAACUGGUUAACUAGAGUAUUGUAGAGGAAGGUAGAAUUCCACGUGUAGCGGUGAAAUGCGUAGAUAUAUGGAAGAACACCAGUGGCGAAGGCGGCUCUCUGGUCUGUAACUGACGCUGAGGUUCGAAGGCAUGGGUAGCGAACAGGAUUAGAUACCCUGGUAGUCCAUGCCGUAAACGAUGAGUGCUAAGUGUUGGGAGGUUUCCGCCUCUGAGUGCUGCAGCUAACGCAUUAAGCACUCCGCCUGGGGAGUACGACCGCAAGGUUAAAACUUAAAUGAAUUGGCGG